UAUAUAUAUAUAUAUAUAUACAUAUAUAUAUCCAAUUUGAUAACUAAUAAAUACAAAUAUGAGAAUAAUCUCUUGGAACGUGAACGGCCUAAAUAAUAAGAAAAAAAGGAAUAGGGUGGGGCACAUACUAAAAAAACAAAACUGGGAUGUGAUCUGUCUACAAGAGACGCACAUAAAUAAAAAACAUGUGAGAGUCCUAAAAAAUGAGAAAUUAGGAAUAGAAUUCGUUGCGGCCGAUGCAAGAAAGAAAAGAGGAAUUGUGAUGUACAUAAAAAGCAAAUGGAACCCGGAAUUAAUUGGGACGGAUAAUGAGGGAAGAAUCCUUAUAGUUAAAACAGUAAUUGAAGGAGAACAAUGGGUCUGGGUGGGUAUCUAUGCCCCCAAUGGGAGUAAGAAAGAAUUUUUAAAAAGAUUGGAGACCCAGUUAAUAAAUUAUGCGGGGGAAAGACUAAUUUUAAUGGGAGAUAUGAAUGGAAUCGUAGAUCCAGAGUUAGACAAAAAUGGUUGGAGUAAAGGAAAAUCAAGCGGGAAAUUACCCCAAAAGUUUAUGGACAUUACAAGUAAUUUACACUUAUUAGAUGCAUGGAGAUUUAAGAACCCCAUAAAAAGAGAGUACACUCACAUUUCGGCACGGCACCAAUCGGCGAGCAGAAUAGAUAUGAUUUGGAUCACUAAAGAAUUAUCAUUAAGAAUUCAUAAAAUAGAACUAGGACCACAGACCCUCUCGGACCACAACCCAGUAACCCUUUCAUUAAAAAAAGAAUAUUCCCAGAAAGGUUGGAGGAUGAAUGUCCUCAUGUUAAAUAACAACAUUCUUAUUAGGGAAGCAAAAAAAACGUUAAAAGAAUACUUUGAAAUAAAUCAAACUGGUGAGGUCGACCCUUUAGUGACUUGGGAUGCGAGCAAAGCUGUUAUGCGUGGUUUUUUUAUAUCACAGAAUGCAAGAAUAAGAAAGGAGAGAGAACAAAAGAAGGAAAAAAUUCUCCAGGAAAUAAAAAAUAAGGAAAAAAUGUUACAUAAAAAAUGUAAUAAAACAAUUGAGCAAGAAGUCAAACUACUGAGAUUAGAGUAUGAAAAAUUAAUCGAUUAUGAGAUCGAUCAACGAUUACAAUAUUGGAAAUACAAAAAUUUUGAAUGGGCCAAUAAGCCCAGCAAAUUGUUAAUGUGGCAAAUAAAAAAGAGGAAAAAUGAAAAAAUAAUAAAUAGAAUUGAAUCGGAAGGGAAAUAUUGUUAUAAAACAGAAGAGAUCAUAAAAACCUUUCAGAAAUUUUAUGAAAAAUUAUAUCAGAAGGAAGAUACACCUAUGCAACAAAUCGAUGAUUUCCUGGCAAAAUAUCAUUUACCAAAAAUACCAACGGAAAAAAUAUUCUUGUUAAACAAAGAAAUAACAUCCCUAGAAAUAACAGAAACAAUUAAGAACAUGAGAAAAGGGAAAGCCCCAGGUCCAGAUGGGCUUCCAAUUGAAUUUUACAGAGAAUUACAAGAUGAGGUUGUAAUACCUCUUAAAGAUUUAAUGAAUUUAAUCUUACAAAAAGGAAACACACCCCAAUCAUGGACGGAAGCCCAAAUAAUUUUAAUACCUAAACCCCAAACGAAUUUAGAUAAACCAGGCAAUUUUAGACCGAUCUCGCUGUUAAAUAGCGAUUACAAGAUCUUCGCAAAAAUAAUGGCCAAAAGAUUAAGCAACAUACUGGAAGAUAUAAUACACAAAGACCAAGCGGGAUUCAUAAAAGGGAGGUACGCUAAAGAUAACAUAAGGACCAUUGUAAACAUAUUGGAAUGUUUAGAGAGCCGCAGAGACAAACAAACAGCGCUCCUUGCCAUCGAUGCAGAGAAGGCCUUCGAUAGGGUCUCGUGGCCUUUUAUGAUGAAAAUUAUGGAAAAAUUAGAAUUAGGGGACAAAAUGGAAAACGCAAUCAAAUCAAUUUACAAAACACAGGGAGCAAAAAUAUUAAUAAAUGGGAAAGUAUCGAAUAAAAUAAAUAUUACGAGAGGCACCAGACAAGGGUGCCCCUUGUCCCCAACACUCUUUAUAAUUACUUUGGAAAUUUUAUUAAAAAAUAUUAGGGAGGAAGAAAAAAUUAAAGGGAUAAUUGUUGGUAAGAAAAAAUUUAAAACAAAGGCUUUCGCGGAUGAUAUUAUUAUUACCACGGAGGACCCUAUCGAGGGCAUUCCAAAAGCAUUGGAAAAGAUAAAUGAAUAUGGAAAUAUAGCUGGCCUGAAAAUUAAUUAUGAGAAGUCGCACAUGUUAGUAAAGAACCUGGAAGAAGCAGAAAAAACAAUAUUGCAGGAAAAAACGGGAUUGAAAAUAGUAAAAAGGAUAAAAUAUUUGGGCAUUCAAACUACCGUUAAGGGGAUUGAUUUGAUUCAAGAAAAUUACAAGGAAACCUGGAAAAAAAUCAAGGCAAAUUUUGUAAAUUGGGACAAACUGAAACUAUCCUUACUGGGAAGGAUAUCAUUAGUGAAGAUGUGUGUAGCCCCAAGGAUGAUCCACCUAUUUCAAAACCUGCCAAUAUUGGGCAAAGAAAAUAUAUUUAAAGAGUGGAAGAGAGACCUAACCAAAUUCAUCUGGAACGGAAAAAGACCAAGAGUUAAAUAUAAAAUCAUGAUAGACAGUAUGCGCAGAGGGGGAUAUGGAAUGCCGGACCUUGAAGCAUACCAUGAUGCGGCGGCAUUAUGUUGGCUUAAAGAUUGGAUAACACUGAGGGAUACCGAUCUAUUGGAUCUGGAAGGUUUGGGACUGGCCUCCGGGUGGCACCACUAUUUGAUGAGGGAGAAAAUUGAAAAAAGGAGCAGUUUCCGGCUUAAUAUUAUUAGGAAGUCAUUAUAUCUUGUAUGGCAAAAAUAUAAAAGAUAUUUUGAGCCAAAAACACCUUGGUGGCUCUCUCCCCUUGAAAUAGUGGCAGUAAGGAGAAAAAACAUGGAGACAAAUUGGCCUACAUAUAGACAAUUAAUAGAAAAUAAAGAGGGAACCUGGCAGUUAAAGGAUUAUGAAGAAGUAAAGGGACUCUUUACUACCUGGUUGCAAUAUUUUCAAGUAAACCAAAGAUUACAAAUUGACAAACAAAUUGGCUUUGAUAAAGAAACAUCCAAAUUAGAAGAGAUUUUAUUGAUAAACAAGGACAAAUUUAUUAAAAAUUUAUACCAAAUUAUAUUGAAAUGGAAAACGGAGGAGGAAUUAACAAAGGAAUAUAUGAUUAAAUGGUCACAAGAUUUGGGGAAACCAAUAACAAUGAUAGAAUGGGAAAGAUUAUGGAAAAGGGACCUAAAUUUUUCACCAUGCUAUGAUAUUAAGGAAAACCUAAUGAAGAUGCAAAAUAGGUGGUAUCUAACACCAGGAAAAUUGGCCAAGAUUUAUUCAGGCUUAACUAAUAAUUGUUGGAGAUGCAACCAGGAAGUAGGAACCCACAUACAUAUGUGGUGGCAUUGCAAACAAAUUAAAAAGUUCUGGGAAACAAUUUAUAAUGAAAUAAAGAAAAUGAUGAGAUACCCAAUUAAGAAAUGUCCCAAAUUAUUUCUUUUAGGAAUGAUGCCGGAAGAAGUUAAACCUAGAGACAGAUGCUGUCUAAGUUAUGCGGUAGCUGCCGCAAGGACACUAAUAGCAAAAAAUUGGAAGGCUGCUCACGUCCCAACAAAAGAGGAAUGGCAAGAGAAAUUAUUCAAUUAUUACAAUCUGGCUAAAAAGUAUGAGGAAAUUAAAGGUACUAAGAAGGAAGAAAGUGAAAGUAAUUGGAAAGUGUUUACAGAUUAUAUAAGCACUAAAGUAGCGAAUACGAGCCUUAUCUCCGCCAAAUAAGGUUCAGCCAUAUAUACGACCAUAUAUUAGAUGCUGUGUGGAAAGAGAGGAUGGAAUAAAUGAUAGUUAAUAAUUGGAGGCAUGUUAUGAUUACAUGGAAUUAAUACAAGUUAAAGUAAGAUAUGCAGAGUAUUAUUAUCUUAGAAUAAUAAAAGGAAAAGUUCAGAUUAGGUUGUGAAGUCAAGGGGAAUGGGAAGCAGAGAGGGAGGGGGGAGGGAAGUAAUACUUCGUGUAAUGAAACAAGAUAAUUGUAAUAUCUGUUUUUAUGGUGAUGAUUUAUUUUAAUUGUGAUGAAUGUUCUGUUAUGUAAUAAAGUUUAUUUUAAUAAUAAUAAUAAUAAUAAUAAUAAUUAUAAAAUAGAUAAAACCAAAGAGCAUAUUGUGUGUGUGUGUAUGCACACCAAAUAAGUAGAACAACACCAUAUCAAAAUACAUGCACUGCACCAUAAUAGUUAUAAUAACAAUUUUAUUAUUUAUACCCCGCAACUCUGGCUGGGUUGCCCCAGCCACUCAUGGAUAUGUAUCCAUAUCCAUAAACAUGAAACAGAUACGUAAGCCACUCACACUCAGCAAUAUGACAAUGCAAUGCCAAGCAUACAGAAAUAAGAUCCACUCCUAAUUUGAUGGAUUCAUGCCCCGUCUCCUCUGGGACAUCCAAUACUCCUCUCUCCUCUCUGACCUGAGAGGGGCCAGAGGCAUACCCUUCAACUCCCGGUAAGGAAAAUCCAGGAUCAGCAGCGGUGCGGCACGGCACCGGAAGUCGCUUCUAUGCAUGUCAGCGUAGAAGCGACUUCCGGUGCCGCUCUGCCCGAUUUCCGGUGCCCAGACAUGGGCAGAGCAGCACCCGAAAUCGGUUCUGUGCAUGUCCAGACAUGCGCAGAAGGAGCCUCCCUGGCAGGUAGGAAAUCCGGGGGAUUUACGGGAAUUUUCUCUAUUCGGGAUAACAACGGGAAACGGGUUUAAAUACAGGGGUUUUCCGCGAAAAAUGGGAGACUUGGCAGCUAUGGCCAGAGGUGUAUCUGGAGAGUAGAGAACGACUUCCAUCCACUUGCUGCCUGGUACUGCACCAUCUCAACACUAGAUAAAGCAACAGUCAGCGCUGGUAGCAGACACAAACAUCAAGCUCACACUCAAGGUAGCUGUAAAGGUCACCAUAGAUUCAAAUUGUUGCUGCCAGCCAGCUGCUAGGCUCUCCUUCUCCCCCCAGCGCCUUAGCCUGCUCAUCUCGUGCUCCACUGGGGUCUUGUAGGCGAGCAUUUCGUGCUAGGGCUGCCCACCCUCAGCUGAGAGCCACAGGAUGAGACCUUUUGACCCAUGCCCUUGCCAGGCACAAGAUUUUGAUACAGCAACAGCAGCAGCAGCAGAAGCAGCAGAAGCAGCAGAAGCAGCAGCAACAACAACAACAACAAUUUAUUUAUAGCUUGCUCAUCUGGCUGGGUUUCCCCAGCCACUCUAGGCAGCUUCCAACAAAAGAUUAAAAAUACAUUAAAACAUCAGUCAUUAAAAACUUCCCUAAACAGGGCUGCCUUCAGAUGUCCUCUAAAAGUCUGGUAGUUGUUUUUCUCUUUGACAUCUGGUGGGAGGGCGUUCCACAGGGCAGGAGCCACUACCGAAAAGGCCCUCUGCCUGGUUCCCUGUAACUUCGCUUCUCGCAGCGAGGGAACCACCAGAAGGCCCUCGGCGCUGGACCUCAGUGUCCAGGUUGAACGAUGGUGUGUGUGUGUGUGUGUGUGUGUGUGUGUGUGUGUGUGUGGAGACACUACUUCAAUACCUGGGAAGGUGGGAAAGAGGGGAUAAAAAGCACAGUCUUCUGUCAGGAAACCAGUUGAGAGUAUAAGAAGUUCCCUACAGGUGGAUCAGGCCAGUGGCCCAUGUAGUCCAGCAUCCUGUUCUCACAGGGGCAAACCAAUUGCCUCUUGUGGGAAUCCUGCAGGCAGGGCCUGAGCACAAAAGCACUCUCAACUGCUAGGGUUUCCAGCAGAAGCAUUCCCUGCCUCUGACAGUGUAGGCAGAGCGUAACCAUCAUGGCUAGUGGACAUCGAAAGCUCUCUCCACCAUGAAUUUGUCUAACCCCCAAUCCCCUGCCCUCUGUGCAUCUUCCCGUUGUUUGUUUGUUUGCCCCACAUUUUCCUGGCACUUUCCAAACCACAAAAAGUCAGAUUCUUUGUUCUUAAAGUGGGUGGCUUGCAGUAAGAGCACUUUGAUCCACUUUAACUCUGCAAACCUCUAAAAUAAAACCAGCCUUCUAAUAUCUUUAUCCCAGUUGGUGUGUCUUGGAUGUGAACUGAUUUUAUUCAUGCGCUGUCUUUUUUUUAAUGUAUAUAAUUGCUUUUUAAAGUUGCUUUGAUAGAUGUAGCUGUUUUAUAUUUUCUGUUAUAUUAUAAAUAGCUUUGGGAGGUCUCCUGGGUAGUGAUUCAUGCAUUAAAUUAAUAAUAAUAAGAACAACCACCACCCUAAAACUAUGGUUUGUGCUAUAGACCUGCAGACCUAUAGAUCUUCACACAGCAGGAAGCCUCUCUCUUAAUGAUUGAUUGAUUGAUUGCAUUUAUAACCCACACUUUUCUCCAAGGAGCUCAAUGUGCCGCACGUGGUUCUUUCCCUCCUGAAUUAGUCCCCACAACAACCUUGUGAGGUAGGCUAGGCUGAGAGGCAGUGACUGGCCCAAAGUCACCCAGUGAGCUUCAUGGUUGAGUGGCGAUUGGAACCCUGGUCUCCAAGCUCCUAGUCUGACACACUACCCACUCCGCAUUGCAACCUUUAGGAGAUUCUGUCCAUCCUUGGUACAAAAAGUUCCAGGGCUGCAUCAGAGGAAGGAAUGUCUCCUUCUUCUCCUCUGAGAAUAUGAAAGCCCGUCACUGAUACGAGCAAACGGGUCCCUUGUAAGGGCAGACAGCACAAAAGGGGGAGGUGUACAUGCAGAGUUUUGCUAUGAGCAAAGCUGGAAAUUGCCUAAAAUAAACCUCCGGCUACACCAAGAGGACCAUCGGGAUUUCCUUCCACUUCUCCUCUCUCUCUCCUUUUGAGGGACCUUCUGCUCUGAUCAGUACUAGAAGCAAAGCUGAAUAAUUCCUGGCUGGCUUUCAUCUUUCAAGAGGAGAAGGGACUGUUCCUUCUCUGUCCCUUCAAGCCUCUGCUGCAAGGUGAGAUCUCUUUGCACUAAGGAUGGCCUAACAAGGCCGGCUCUUUCGUUGGGCAAAGUGAGGCAAACGGCUCAAACGGCAGAUGCUGGGAGGUGGGAGGCAGGAUGGCAGAGAGCAACAGCGAAGUGUUGGAGGGCGGGAUGGUGCACCCCCUACACUCAGUCGACGAUGCAGCCUCAUCCCCAGGGUUGAAGCAAGAUGCAGACACGAGUAUGGUCAGCUCCUCGGCAUGAGCAUAUACAGGAGUUUAUCCAGGAAGGGGGGGGGAGUAAAUACUCCAAACCAAGAAGCAAACUUAACUAGCAUGGUAGAUUAUGGUUUGGGAGAGGGGCUGUCCCUCUUGUCCGUCUGUCCUGGGACCAUCCCCUCCAAUCCAUUCCGUUGUCAGGCUAUUCCAAACUUUCCAUCCAUCAUCCUCCCUUCCUCCCCAUCCUUCCCUUCCCUGUUUUUGUUCAGCUUAGCAGCUGGCCAGAAAGGAACUUAUAUAGGUAACUCUAGAAGGUGCCUUUUUUUCCUGGCUGUGUUAUUUGCUUCUAAUUUUCUUGCUACCAUUGCAUUUACAGCAUCCACUUGUUUCAUUGCAAAACGUGGUAUUCUAAGGCUGGGAACAUUUGCUCUUGUGCAUUUCUUGGGUUGUUCUAGUUGUUGAGGUGUGCAGUGACUUGAAUACCAGAAUAGAAAAGAUUGGGGGGGGGGAAAUGGAUGGGAUUCCCGCCCCCCCCCCCGACCAACUUUAUCCACUGGUGCAGAUGGCAAGUGGCAAUAUUUUUUUAUUUUUUUAAAAAAUUAAAUAUGUAUCAACCACACUUGCAUAGAAAAUAACAUAAGGUGGUCGACAACUUAAAAAGAAACCCCCAGUAAAAACUAUUUUUAAAAUGUAAAAUGUGGCAAGGAAUCUAUUAAGAACACAAGAAGAGCUUGCUGGAUCAGGCCAGUGGCCCAUCUAGUCUAGUCUAGCAUAAUGGCCAGCCAGAUGCCCCAGGGGGAAGUCUAUAAACAGGAACUGAGCACAACAGCAGUCUCUCCACUUGUGAUUCCAAGCAAAUGGUUUUCAGUGGCUGAACACAGUCCUCAUGGUUGAAGGGAGAGUGCUCUUGUGCUCAGAUUCUGAUGGCGGGAAUACAAGCCACUGUGAGACCAGGAUGCUGGACUUGAAGGGCCUCCUUUAGUCUGAUCCAGCAAACCCUUCUUACUUUUUAAAUUAUAGACAGUAUCUAAACAAUGGAACGAAAUGAUUUUUAAUCAUGCGAUGGCUGUGACUUGCAUUGCAUUCAGGAUUGACAAAAGGAAGUGUUUUCCACAAUUCAUUAUUGACUUCUGUGUAAUAAUAAUAAUAAUAAUAAUAAUAUAUUAUUUAUACCCCGCCCAUCUGGCUGGGUUUCCCCAGCCACUCUGGGCGGCUUCCAACCGAAUAUUAAAAACAGUACAGCAUCAAACAUUAAAAACUUCCCUAAACAGGGCCGCUUUCAGUUGUCUUCUAAAAGUAAAAUAGUUACUUAUUGCCUUGACAUUUGCUGGGAGGGCGUUCCACAGGGCGGGUUCCACUACUGAGAAGGCCCUCUGUCUGGUUCCCUGCAACUUGGCUACUUGCAACGAGGGAACCGCCAGAAGGCCCUCGGUGCUGGAUCUCAGUGUCGGGGCUGAAUGGUGGGGGUGGAGAUGCCCCUUCAGGUAUACAGGACCGAGGCCGUUUAGGGAAAAAGUGGUGUCCUUUUGUGUGUAAAAGGGUUAGUUUAGGCGAGGGUGAAAAGGUGCUCUCCCCACCCCUUAGACCUUUAAAUACCAGGUGCUGGGGACAAAGCAUGGCCAUAUCCUUCAUGUUCUCCCUGUGAACAUCCUGUAGGCAUCAGUCCUGUCUGCUUGCUGUUAGAAGAUGGACCACUCCAGGAAAACAAUCCAGAUGUUCCCAGAAUCUAUAUUGGCUUGUGCACUCCUGCUGCAGCUGAGCAAAUCACAGCCUUCAAAUUGUGCAUCCUUCCCAGGAGACACUGCUCUGUGCUCUGACAUGUGCCAAAAAAACAAACAAACAACUGGAGCAGAGUUUCCUUGUUCCCCACACUAGUAAUUAGCUAAUGCAGCACCAUGGAGAUGCCACAGAGUGUUAUUCCCAGAGGGCAGAAACUCUGUCACCCCGCCCUCUCCACUCCUCCUUGCAGAAAAUGUGAGUGUUGCUGAAUAUUUCUGUUUUGAGAGGCGCAGAAGGAGUAACAUGCGAUGAUGACAAUGCCCAGGGAAUUCCUGCUCCCUUAAAUAGAAAUCACAGUUUUUAAACGGGGUAGGGACUUGGCCAGAUGGCAUGCAAAGCAGCGACAGAGGCGAGAAGGGCUUCAAAUGCCUGCAGACGGCAACAGAUCAGUUACCCAGCAUCAAGAAAGUCCUUCACUCAGUGCAUUGUUAAACUAUGGAACUCCCUCCCACAGGAGGCAGUGAUGGCCACCAACUUGGAUGGCUUUAAAAGAGGUUUAGUGGAGGAGAGGGCUAUUGAAGGCUACUAGUCAUGAUGGCUGUGCUCUGCCUCCAUAGUUGGCAGAAAUGCUUCUGAAUACCAGUUGUUGGAAACAGCAGGCGGGGAGAGUUGCUCUUGUGCUUGAAUUCUGCUUGCAGGAAUACAAGGAUCUGGUUGGUCACUGUGAAACCAGGAUGCUGGACUAGAUGGGCCUCCUUUGGUCUGAUCCAGCAGACUCUUCUUACUUUUUAAAUUAUAGACAGUAUCUAAACAAUGGAACGAGAUGAUUUUAAACUAUGCGAUGGCUGUGACUUGCAUUGCAUUUAGGACAGACAAAAGGAAGUGUUUUUCAUAAUGCAUUAUUGACUUCUGUGCAAGAAAUAGUGGUGUGUUGUUUUGUGUAAACUGCAGGAGUGGAGAGUUGCUCUUGUGGUUGGAUUCUGCUUGCAGGAAAAUAGGCAUGUGGUUGGUCACUGUGAGAACAGGAUGCUGGACUAGAGGGGCCAUUGGCCACAACCAGCAGGCUCUUCUUAUGUAAGGGGAACUGCUGACAAGUAGGUCAGGACUCCCCCUUGCAACCAAGGUGUUAUUUGUUUGUAGACACAGAAAUGUAAAAGCUCAGAAUACUUUGCACAUUCCAAGAAAAUGUAUACCUCUGGCUUGAGGUCUCAGUGGUGUUAGGCCCCUAGAUUUUCCAUAGUCUGGUCACCUGCUCUUUACCCAUGUAAGGGGGUGUUGUUUCAGGAGAAUCUCAAAAGAGUGUUGCUGGAUCGGACCAGCAUCCUUUCUUCAUGUCAACCAACCAGAUGUCCGAAUAGGAAGAAGCCCACAGUUAGCAGUGAGUGCAAUGGCAGCGCCCUCACUGCUUGUGAUUCCAAAUCCCAAUCUCUGAGGGACAUCUGUCCUAUGAUAUUAGAGGCAGUAGUACACAGCCAUCAUAGCAAGUAGCCAUUGAGAAUAACCUCCAUGAAUUUGCCAUUUAAAGCCACCCAAGUAGGUAGCGAUCACUGCAACUUCUGGUAGUGAAUUUCAUAGUUUAUUAACUUUUCUUCUCCCCACCCCCCACCCUCUGCAUCAAGGGGACUUGCUAAAAUUUACGGUACCUCUAUUUUUAUUUGUGAACUGCCUUGGGAUCUGUUGAGGAUCCAUCCAUCAUUGAUACAGAUGAAAAUAGGCAUGUGAAGACAUAUAGAAAUGAUCAGCAGUUUUAGGAUUUAUCUGCUGGCCUUUAUGAUACAAUGGCCCAAUCAAAGAAAGUAAGUAAUAUUAGAGUCCCAUAGAAAUUAAUAGGGCAUAAAUUGGGUGCAAAUUAGGACCCGGAGCCCUUGAGACUACUACCUGUUGCAACUAAGCAGGACUGGGUCUCAUCAGUGCCUGGAUGGGAGGGUACUGAAGAACCACUUUUACGCUGCCUUGGAGUCCAUGACAGAAGAAAGGGAGGAUAAUACAUGUAAUAAUAUUUGUUCUAUCGAUUAGUCUUAUUGCACUGCAGGGGGUUGUGUCCAUUUCAACCCCACAGUUUUACGAUUCUAAAUCUAAGUCCUUCCUUAGAUCUUCCAGCAUUUAGCUUCAUUGUUGGACUGUAUUGGCUUCCAGUAUUAUGCGAGGUUUGUGUGGGGAACCUGUUUCUCUCCACUUUCUGCACUUGUUCAUAAUCUUGCCUAUCUCUACCUCGUUUGUCAGUGGCCUCGUCCUUGGUUCCUUUUCUGUUGUCAGCAUGGGAACAUUGAGUUCUCUACUGGAGGGAGGGAGAAUAUGCAUGUUAUUGACUGAAAAAAAGAGGGAGGGAGAAAGAACUUUCCUUUCAUACCUGUUUCGGUUUUUAAAAAAAACCUUCCAGGAUCGGCAUCGCCGACACUCCCUUUUUAUUUUUGUAACCAUUUUAUCACUGAUCCCUACAAAACCUGCUGCUUUUGUCACACAGCCUGCUCUAGCCCCCCCACCCCACCCAAGCCAGCCAACUUUGCUCAGGGACAGUAGAGGAUACUACAGUGGUACCUUGGUUCUCGAACUUAAUCCCUUCCGGAAGUCUGUUCAACUCCCGAAAUGGUUCGAAAACCAAGGCGUGGCUUCCGAUUAGCUGCAGGAGCUUCCUGCACUCAAUCGGAAGCCGUGUCGGACGUUCGGCUUCCGAAAAACAUUUGCAAACCGGAACACUCACUUCCAGGUUUGCGGCGUUCAGGAGCCAAUUUGUUCAGGAGCCAAGCUGUCCAAGAACCAAGGUACCACUGUAUUUGACCACCAGCACUGAAAUAUUUAUUGAUUUGGGUUUAUAUACUGCCCUCCCUCUCAAAGGAGCUUAAGGCAGCAGACACAACAAUAAAAAAGCAUUUGUUGAUUCUUUCCCAAAAAUGUAUUUUGAGAUGUUCAGUAACAGCAGCGUCCCUGGGGCUGAUUCCCCCAUUGCCACACACCCCUCUCCACAUCAUUUGAUGUGAGUCCCAAUGUCAUCUGGCCUUAGAAGUAGAGAUCCCCUGCAGCACCCCACCCAUAAUCCCGCUUGCCCUAUAAUCCAUCCAUUGCGGGAGAAAAUGCUGUCUUUGGCAUUUUGUCCACAGCCCUUUUCUGAUGAUUGAACCUUCCUGAGCAGCUGCAGGACCUUGUCGGAUGGCAGCUGGGCAGGCAGAGGAGCCCAUUAGCGAUAUUACAUGGGGCUGCAAUUCCCAGCGUGAUCUGUCAAGACAGCAGUCCCCAGUUCACCCUGGCUGAAUGGCAGCAAAGGGCAUUUUGCUCGGAGAUGAGGAUGCCAAGCAGAGAAGCUGGGAAUUGGAACAGCAGUAUAGUGGCAACUUCAGGAGCGUGGGAUCCCUUUACGAUAGUCACAGCCACGUCCCUCCUUAGGUUAUACAACUUUCCAAGAUUAUACAAUAAUCAUAAAGUGGGGUGUAUUGCAACUAUCAAUGCAGUUCUCUUGAUGUUGCCUUUCAGCUAGAUCUACAGUGGUACUUCGGUUUACAAUGACGAUCCGUUCGAGUGAGCCGGUCGCUCCCCGAGUCCGUCGCUCGCUGAAGGCACGCUUCUGCGUGUGCGCGAAGCGCCAAUAGAGCGCUUCUGUGCACGCGCGUGCUGCACAGAUCGCUUCUGAGUGUGUGGAACCUGGAUGUAAAUACUUCCGGGUCUGUGGCAGUCGCUCUCUGAGUUCAUCGUAAACAGAGGCGCUCGCAAACCGAGGUUCCACUGAUCUAUUUCCCAUGCACGUAUGUGGGCAAAUGGUUUGGAGUGUUCCAAUAUAUUCUUUUGGAGAGACUGAAGUUGUGUUUUCCUUGAUGUUGCAUUUUAUGUAACAGAACUGGCACACCUUUCUCUUGAAGCUGAAGCACAUUGUGUUGUCAGUGCUCCUAAAUACAGUGGUACCUCUGGUUACGAACUUAAUUCUUUCUGGAGGUCCGUUUUUAACCUGAAACCGUUCUUAACCUGAGGUACCACUUUAGCUAAUGGGGCCUCCUGUUUCCACCGCGCCACCGCCGCAUGAUUUCUGUUCUCAUCCUGAGGUAAAGUUCUUAACCCGAGGUACUACUUCCGGGUUAGCGGAGUCUGUAACCCGAAGUGUUUGUAACCUGAGGUACCACUGUACUCAGUUUGGAGCAUAUGGAACAACUCCUUGGACUUCUUCCUGCGCCUUCUCCAGAGUGACCCUAGGAGCCCAUCCUCAGUGGUUGACACACCUCCUUUCACUCUGAUUGGCUCCAAUGGCCAGAAAGGGUGAGAAGAUGUCUUCUCAUUGGCUAAGAAGCUCCCCUUUUGUGGUGAUUGGGCAGCUUUAGGAUGCAGGAGACAGAGAUGCUGCUGCAGAAAUAGUAACAGAUCUUUGACCUACCCCAUGUCCCCAGACCACUAUGUAUGUCGGAAUUGGAGGCAGUGUCUCUCUACCAUGGCUAAACUCUGGAGGACUGCAGGUUGGGGAAGGCUUUUCUCUAUUGCUCAGAGGUUGGGUUGUAUCUAAUAUACUUUAAAAGUAGACCCAUUGAAAUAAAUGGACCCCAGUCAAGCCCAUUAUUUUCAAUGAGUCUCCUCUGAGUAGGACUAGCAACAACCCUCACUGCCGGAUGUCAACUAGCCAUUAUUAUUAUUAUUAUUAUUAUUAUUAUUAUUAAUUUGACUUAUAUACCAUCCUUGGUAUAUAAGACCAUCAGAAGAUCCCAGGGCAGUGUACAUUAAAAACGUAUUUUAAGAAGCAUUAUAAUAAAACAUAAUACAAAACAUAAUAAUAGGCAGCAUAAUAAUAAAACAAUCAUAAUAACAGCCCAUCCCCCACACCUUUAACAGACUAUAGAUUAUGUAUUGGCUGAAGGCCUGGGUAAAGAGGAGGAAUGUUUUUGCUUGGCACCUAGAGACAUGCAAUGAUGGCGACAGGCAAGUCUUUCUGGGGAGAGCAUUCCAAACAGUGUAGAAAUGAUAUGAAUAAAUAUAUAACCAGGGCAGCCAAGGUGGUCUUGGUCUUAGAGCCCAGUUCACUAAGCUCCUAGUAAGCUUUGGCAAAUGCCCAUGGUCACCUUGGCAUAUCCUGUUGCAUGCUGGGUAGUUUCAGCACUUGAGAGGUGCCUGGCUUUUUCUAGGUCUGCUAGUGGGCACUUACUACAAAUCCUUUGGCAAUUUGGCCAGGAAUGGGGCAUGGAAGAAUCACAUUUGGCUCUCAGAAUUGGCAAUCAUAGUGCUGGAAGGGAGCCAUAGAGUCGUCCUUGUACAACCUUCUGCAAUGUAGGAUUCACAGCUAAGUCAACAUACUUUGUUUUGAGACUCCAGGUAAAUAGGCAGUUUGGUAUGUAUUACGCUCCUGAGAUCUUCUAUCCCCAUGCCUAUUCCUAGGUGCUUCUGACCCCCUUUGGCUCUCUGGUAGGGCAGGGCUGCUUCAAUGAGACCCAACUGUCUCUGCCGGUUGAGAAAGCCUGUCCCUAGGCUAGCACUGCUGUCCCUCUAGUUCUUCCCGUUGGACCAGCUGGGAUUGAGCAGAGCCGUGACAUGCCCCAUCGGGGCUCCUGUUCCUCCCUAGCAGGGAUGGUGCUCCACCGGACCCAGAAGCUGAACCUCUUGCGGCUGUUGGUGCUUCUCACUGUGGUGCUGGCAGCCAUCAAGUAUUUCUUCCGGGACAGGUGAGUAUCUUUCAGAGAGGCAUUGCUGCCUUGCAAGGUGGGAGUGGCGAGCCUGCGGCCCUCCCAAGAUGUUGCUGGACCCCAAACCUCCAUCAUACCAACAUACCAAGGAUGGCCAAAGGGUCCCCCUUCCAUCCCUGUUGGUCGUCCAGGGUCCCAUAAAUGGGGCUCUUUUGCAGCCAUGGGUGGAAAUCCAUGUUUGCCUAUUGCUCCAGGGCUGUUUCAAGAUUGUGGGGUACAGCUGCCUUCCCCAACCCAGUCCCCAAACAGAUGUUCUGGACUAUAAUUCCCAUCGGCCAGCACAGUUGCAGGAUUUCUUUAUUCGUUUAAAUACUUACGUGGUGCUGGGGCUUUGUUUAUUUUAAAAUAUUUAUAGGCUGCACUUUUCCUAAGAAUACAGAGAGGUCGUACAAAACAUAUGAGAUGAUAGUAACUUUGAUUAAGAGAAGAAUUAAAGCAUCAGGAAGAGCAUAAUUAAAAACGCCCAUAAAAGAUGUAGUUCAAAAUGGCCGUGCUGGCUGGGACCCAUGGGAGUUGUAGUCCAAAAUGGCUGUUUGUCAGGAGCCAGAGUCAGGAGCAGGUCAGCAAUAAAACACCCAGUGUCAGAAAAGUUAACUCUUUGUUUGAAGAAACCAAAACAGCUCAGGCCUAGUAAUCCCAGCAACUCUUCUCAGUAGGUCUUGCACCAAUGAGGCAGUUGCAAGGACUGAAGGCCCCUGCUUUCCCACUGCUCUCUAAGACUCCUUCCCCCAGUCCUUCCCAAGCAAACUGGUGGGAGGGGAACUGGCCACAGCAGGAGGGGGAGACCCCAUGGCUUCUUCAGCAGCCUCUCACAUCUCUGGCUCCUGGCUCCGCUCCAGCUUCCGCUGAGUGUGGACUACCCUCUUCCCCAGCCUCUCCCUGCUCUCUGCUCCCUGUUGCCUCUUCAGUUUCCGGCACCUCCUCCUCCCACUGCCCCCUCUUCUCCCUCGAACCACUUACCACUGCCAUCCCACCACCACCAAUUCCCUAGCUCUGAACCUUCUUCCCCUGGGGGUUCCCCCAGAUGGUGCCUCCCACCACUCCUCUGCACCUAGCCAGUCCAUGACAGCCGUGCUGGUUGGGGCUGAUGGGAGUUGUAGUCCAAAACACAUGGCGGUCCCGAGGUUGGGGAAGGGCCUGCUCUUGACAUUAUGGGGAGGAGGGAACUCAGUUCCACAUUUGCCUGCAGCUGCACCUUAACCAUGUUGGCGGUCUUCCACUCUCUUCCAC